GGGGAAUCUUGCGCAAUGGGCGAAAGCCUGACGCAGCAACGCCGCGUGCGGGAUGACGGCCUUCGUGGUUGUAAACCGCUUUCAGCAGGGACGAAAAUGACGGUACCUGCAGAAGAAGCCCCGGCUAACUACGUGCCAGCAGCCGCGGUAAUACGUAGGGGGCAAGCGUUGUCCGGAAUCAUUGGGCGUAAAGAGCUCGUAGGCGGUUCAGUAAGUCGGGUGUGAAAGCUCCGAGCUCAACUCGGAGAGGCCACUCGAUACUGCUGUGACUAGAAUCCAGUAGGGGAGUGUGGAACUCCUGGUGUAGCGGUGAAAUGCGCAGAUAUCAGGAAGAACACCAGCGGCGAAGGCGGCACUCUGGGCUGGUAUUGACGCUGAGGAGCGAAAGUGUGGGUAGCAAAC
rnacentral:rRNA from 1 species